ACUCGAUGAUUGGUUUUCCUUUGUCUUUAUGUUAUCUGGAAAACGUUUUGGUAGUGAUCGUAGUAAGCAUAAGUUUCAUCACAAGUUUCAACCAAAACGUUUUGCCUUUCUUUUGAUUAAAAAAAAAAAAAAAUGUUUUGCCUUUCAAACCAUCACCUAACAACCACCACCAGGCCUUGCUGCGUUGAGACUGAUUUCCCUACAAUGUUCCAUCUCUUCUCUCCUUAUACAUCUCCACCAACGGCUUUGACUAUGUCCUUUCUCCACUGGUUUGUUUCUGAUAGAUUCUCACGUUUGUGUCUAAUAUUUCUUUGGAUAUGGCGCUUCAGUGUUUGGUAAAUGAUCUAAAGAAGUUUUCUUCUCUCUCCCUGCGAAAUAUUGUUAUGCGGGUCUAGGCCGAGCUUAGUGGAAGGAACCCAGGUUCAACCAGUGUCCGGCUCUUAAUUACUCUUAGCACCUUUUCAGUGGAGCCGCGUUGGUAUAUGUUUCUCUUUUUGGUUAUGAAUGAUUGGUUUUGAUUAAUGUUAAUGCUUUCUCUAGAAAAAUUAUAUCAUUGAUUGACUUGGACCUGAAGAUGAGUUCUUGCAAAUGGAUUCAUUCAGAAACCAGAAAUAGCAUGUGCUAUACAGUUCUCAUUACUGGUGCUUAGGAAUCAAUGAAUUUAAGUUAUGCACUAUUUUCUUUUUGCCACUAUUUGUUCUCUUUGCUGUGAUUCUUUGUCCACUUUCGAUUCUUGGAUUAAUUGCCUCUUGCUAAUGUUUUUUUUGGCUCGAAGCCAUGCCUUCUUCCUACAACUGAAGGGACCCCAUGUGCCAAUUAUGCCAAAUUUGUGAACCAGAUCUUACAAGGGCUGACUUACUUGCAGUUUUGUAAAAUGUCAUUCUACCAUGAAGUUAUGGCUGAGGGCUCUGCUGGUGAAGUCUGAUGGUGAUUCAAAAUUUCUGUUUCCUGCAAAUAUCACAAGAGCUGUGUUGCGAAUCUGGAAUACGGCAAGACUGUUAUUUUGCUACGAGAGGUAAGGUUGAGUUCUCCGGCGUCGGAUCCUGUUAGCUACAUGACUGUUAUAAGAGUCUUAUGCGAGGGGAAAUAGUUGGAGAAAGCAUUGGAAUUGUUGAAUGAUAUGUAAGGCAUCCAUAAUAAGCAUUUAUAAUCUUGCUUGCAACAAGCCAUAAAUUUUGCUGCAAAACUUUGGGGUCUUGAGUGCCUUUUUUGAGAUAAUCAGGGGAUAUCAUGCCUCCUAAUGGAGUGAUGGUUGCUAUGGAAAUUUGCACUGCCUAACGUAAAAAUAGAGGCCCCGACACUUGAGUCUGAAGGGGAAAACCAAACCCAUUUCAACAUCGCAGGCAUUAAGAAAAGUUCUGCUAACUCGGUGUCAAAAGCUGCAAAGAUAAAGGGCCGGUUGCUCAAGAGAUUAAAAAUGUCCUUAAGAGAUUUGAAUUUGGGAUCUAGUCCUCUGCUUAGGGGUCAAGACAGUGUUCCAACAGUGGAUUCAAUACAAUAGAGCACAUUGGUAGACUUCUACUCUUCAGUGAUUUCUUAAGUGUUCAGAGGUUCAAAGAGUUCUCUGCUUCAAACACUUUCUCCACUGAGGAUGAACCUUACAAAGGUCUUAGUAAUCUGUUUGGUUAGGUUAUCCCCGGCAGGAGAAUUAUGUUCUUACUUGGAUGAUCUGGCAAAUUCAUUGGAUAUUCAGGCUUGCAUAAGAGAAUGUGUUUGGACAGCCGGAAAUUGAUUUAUCUCAUCCCGACACAGUCUAGCUAGCAUCAAUGGGGUAUGACACCGUUAGAUUGCCAUUAAAAACAAAUCCACAAAAAAUUGAGUCAUCUCCUUACCAAUAACCACUUCGGUUUUCUGAUUCUUCUUUGUGAAAUUAAUAGAAUUUUAUCAUAUGUAUUCACACUCUUAAUGUUUUGUGUUUUUUUUGGACAACAAUGUUUUGUGUUUAAGUAAAAAUAAGAAUU